UAAGCUUUAUUGGUGGAACUUAUACAUCAUGUUUUGGUCGUCUAGCCAUUAUAACAUUGGCUUGGAUGAAUACAUUUCUACAACAACAUUAUUGUAGCAUUUAUCUUUGAAGAUAUGUAUUUUGUAGUCCUUGUUGAAUAGAAAGACUUCUAAUCAGCUAAAAAAGACAUUUCAAAGUGUGUUGGUUUUACAUUUAUAUUUUAUUUAAACUACAUAUUUUGUAAUUGAUUUGUAGUAAUCAAUGUAUUGUAUAUAACUAUCUUUGUUUAUACCAUGGUUAUGAUGUGAUGUAGUAUUGGAUGCCAUAUUCCAUCAAAUGCAUGUAAUUUGGUUUGAUAUUGUAGUAUUCCAUUUACUUAUCAUUUUUUAUUAAUUGACUUUAUUAACAUGUAUUAGGAUUUGAAGACUUAAGUAAAAAAAUCCUAUUGGCUUAACAUUCUUGUUAAGUCAAGUAUUGUGAGUGAUUUUAAGAGGAAAAAAAAAAAAAAAACUUAUAUUGUAAGGAUUUUCUUGGCUAUGGUGAUUAAGCUAUUUAAUAAAUUUUUAGGAUUUUUUUAACUUAAAUUUAUAUUUUUAGAUUCUUCUUUUGUAGUAUGAGAGAUAGCUUAAUUUAUUUGUAUAUAGAUUCAUCAUAUUUUCUUGAAAGUAUGUUGGUUGUGCAUUUAUAUUUGGUUUUGAUUACACACUUUGCAAUUGAUUUAUAAUCCUCAAUAUAUUGUAUAUAACAAACUUUGUGUACACAAUAUAAUGGAUUUUUUUUUUCAUUUCAUAAAUGUUGUAACUAAUUUAUAUAGUUUGAAAUAUUUUAUUAAAUAUUAUAUUAUUUUUCGAAAUUAUUACAUCAAUCUAGAUAUUUAUUGAAUCAAUCCACAUAUGAUAACAAUUAUUAGAAAAUAGAUCAUAUUUAGAUAAAAAAUUCCAUG
rnacentral:lncRNA from 1 species